CCUUAAGCGCGUCGUCCAACUCCUCCGCGCUGUGGAUCUUUUGGACCCUCUCGCCGUCAUCCUUCGCCGGCGUCUUCUCCGACGUCCCCGGAGCAGCACCGGCCGUUGCUUUAGUGACGAAUAGAGUUCGUUCUUUUGCGGCGGCGGCGGAUGUAGAGAAUAAGGAGACUCUGGCUUUAGCGGCGGACGAUGUUCUGCUAGUAGAGAUGGCUAGGAAAGGGAAACUGGUGGUGGUGGGUUUGGGUUUAGGGGUUUGUGGGAGUGGAGAGUAGGGGGAUUUGGAGAGAGAGUUAGUGAGUGUAGCCAUUGGAACUUAACUGGAGGAGUCUGAGUUAAGUUUCAGGGGAUUGUUGUGAAUCAGGAUGAGGAUGGAUGGAGGAGUGAGAGAGCUUAGAGGAAUUAUCCAUGGGGAAAAAUC
rnacentral:lncRNA from 1 species